AUAUCAGUAAGUGGAGGAAAAGAAACUAACAAGGAUUGCCUUAGUAGCGGCGAGUGAAGAGGCAAUAGCUCAAAAUUAAAAUCUGGUAACAGAAUUGUAAUCUAAAGAAUAUUGCAGAAGGAUAAUUUCUUGCAUAAAAUCCUGAAACGGGUUAGCAAAGAGGGUGAUACUCCCGUAUUUGGCAAAGGAAUUACCGUAUGCAAUGUUUCAACGAGUCGGGUUGUUUGGACUGCAGCCCUAAAUGGGAGAUAAACUUCUUCUAAGGCUAAAUAUUUAUGGGAGACCGAUAGCGCACAAGUA
rnacentral:rRNA from 1 species